rnacentral:rRNA from 1 species
CUACGGGUCGCUCCAGUGGGGAAUAUUGGACAAUGGGGGAAACCCUGAUCCAGCAAUGCCGCGUGUGUGAAGAAGGCCUGCGGGUUGUAAAGCACUUUCGGUUGGGAGGACUGCUUCUAGCACUAAUAUUGUUGGAAGUUGACGUUACCUUCAGAAGAAGCACCGGCUAACUCCGUGCCAGCAGCCGCGGUAAUACGGAGGGUGCAAGCGUUAAUCGGAAUUACUGGGCGUAAAGCGCGCGUAGGCGGCCAGAUCAGUCGGGUGUGAAAGCCCCGGGCUUAACCUGGGAACUGCAUCCGAUACUGUCUAGCUUGAGUACAGGAGAGGAGAGUGGAAUUCCACAUGUAGCGGUGAAAUGCGUAGAUAUGUGGAGGAACACCAAUGGCGAAGGCAGCUCUCUGGCCUGAUACUGACGCUGAGGUGCGAAAGCAUGGGGAGCAAACAGGAUUAGAUACCCCUGUAGUC